rnacentral:rRNA from 1 species
GACGAACCGUGCAAACGUUAUUCGGAAUCACUGGGCUUAAGGCGGCGUAGGCGGGCCAUCAAGUCAGGGGUGAAAAUCCCACGGCUCAACCGUGGAAGUGCCUUUGAUACUGGUGGCCUCGAGGGAGGUAGGGGCGUGCGGAACUCGGGGUGGAGCGGUGAAAUGCGUAGAUAUCCUGAGGAACACCGGUGGCGAAAGCGGCGCGCUGGACCUCUUCUGACGCUGAGGCGCGAAAGCCAGGGGAGCAAACGGG